UCGGCUUCGGUCCACAUCUAUCUACCAUCUAUAUGUGUAUGGUGCUCUCGCCGCCGGCACCCUUCCGAAAUCCGAGUCUGUCUUGCCCGCUGCUCAUGCCGGGGGCUUAGCUAGCCUAAGGUUUUAGCCAGAGCCAGGUUCCUGCUUAGGGUUUUAGCGGGCUAGCUAACCUUCAGGGGAACACCGCGCGCAGAUUCUUCUCGCAAGCGUAUGUAUGUAUGUAUGUAUGUACAAUACUAACGGAUUCAUUGCAACAACUUUCUUUCUUCUCUGAUGGCAGGACACCUCAGCACCAUUCUCACCGGAGGCGACGCCAAGAAAGUCCCCAUCAUCGGGGACGCGCUUGCCAAUGUAAAUUAACCAACUAUGUUACCCUUAGCCAUGCAUGGCCGUGACACCUUUUUGUAUACGUGUUUGCCGCCCUUUCCUGCAGUUCGUCAAGAAUACCGGCAAGCAUGGGAAAGACGACGGCA
rnacentral:lncRNA from 1 species